GUCCACGCUGUAAACGAUGAGUGCUAGAUAUCGGGGCGUAGCCUUCGGUUUCACAGCUAACGCUUUAAGCACUCCGCCUGGGGAGUACGGUCGCAAGAUUAAAACUCAAAGGAAUUGACGGGGCCCGCACAAGUGGUGGAGCAUGCGGUUUAAUUCGAUGUUACGCGAAAAACCUUACCAACCCUUGACAUGGUGGUCGCGGAUCGCAGAGAUGCUUUCCUUCAGUUCGGCUGGACCACACACAGGUGUUGCAUGGUUGUCGU
rnacentral:rRNA from 1 species